UACGUAGGUGGCAAGCGUUAUCCGGAAUUAUUGGGCGUAAAGCGCGCGUAGGCGGUUUUUUAAGUCUGAUGUGAAAGCCCACGGCUCAACCGUGGAGGGUCAUUGGAAACUGGAAAACUUGAGUGCAGAAGAGGAAAGUGGAAUUCCAUGUGUAGCGGUGAAAUGCGCAGAGAUAUGGAGGAACGCCAGUGGCGAAGGCGACUUUCUGGUCUGUAACUGACGCUGAUGUGCGAAAGCGUGGGGAUCAAACAGG
rnacentral:rRNA from 1 species